CCAGGUAGCAUUCCUCACGGACAUCGGACCGCACGGCACGAGACCGAAACGGAACCGAACGUCGUUCGAAAUUAAGCUUCUAGGGGACAAAUAGGAGUCGUCGACCCCGUGCCCUUCGCGUUUUCUGCAUCCCUGCGAUCGAACGAUAACUCGUUGGCCACGGCAACAACGCGGUAAGCGUCAGCCGGGGAUAACGAGUGUCGUUUAAGUAUCGCCCUCGGCCACACCGAACAAACGAGGCAACCUAAGGCAAACGUGGGAACAUCGCCAGCCGAUUCCAUUGAGAAGGUACGCAACACAGGAAACCGAACGAUUGGCCAAUACAAAAUUGUGCCGAAAACUGAAGAGGAACGCACGGUAGGACGUCGCCGCACAAGGCCGGGAUCCAAC
rnacentral:misc_RNA from 1 species